rnacentral:rRNA from 1 species
AUUGAACGCUGGCGGCAGGCCUAACACAUGCAAGUCGAACGAGUGGCGGACGGGUGAGUAAGGUCUGGGACACUGCCUGAAGGAGGGGGAUAACUACUGGAAACGGUAGCUAAUACCGCAUACCAUCGGAUGUGCCCAGAUGGGAUGAGCUCGUAGGUUGGGUAAAGGCGCACAUAGGCGACGAGCCCUAGCUGGUCUUAGAGGAGGACCAGCCACACUGGAACUGAGACACGGUCCAGACGCGUACGGGAGGCAGCAGUGGGGAAUAUUGCACAAUGGGCGCAAGCCUGAUGCAGCCAUGCCGCGUGGAUGAAGAAGGCCUUCGGGUUGUAAAGUACUUUCAGCGGGGAGGCGUUACCCGCAGAAGAAGCACCGGCUAACUCCGUGCCAGCAGCCGCGGUAAUUC